rnacentral:rRNA from 1 species
GCUCCAGUAGCGUAUACUAAUGUUGCUGCAGUUAAAAAAGCUCGUAGUUGGAUUUCUGGUUCAUCAUUGUGGUCCUGUGCGCCUUAGGGACAUUGAGUAUCGCAAUUGAUCUGCCAUCCUAUCAGAGUUUCUCUUGGUAACAGGAGUUAUUCUGGUUCUUUUACUUUGAAAAAAUUAGAGUGUUUAAAGCAAGCUUCGCG